CUUGCUGCAUGACCCAUCUUCUGUUGAGCUUCAGUUCACAAACGGAUACCCUGACAUUCUCCUGUAGUAUUUGGCUGGUACCAUCCAGAAUUCAUAGAUCCGUCAAUGAUGGCAAGCCGUCCUGGUCCCGAUGCAGCAAAGCAGCCCCAAACCAUGAUUCUGCCACCACCGUGCUUUGUGGUUGGGAUGAGGUUCUUAUGUUGGAAUGCAGUGUUUGUUUUUCGUUAAAAGUUUUUCGAUUUAAACUGGACUCAUCCGUCCACUGAACAUUCUUCCAAUAGCCUUUUAGCUCAUCCAAGUGGUCUUUAGAAAACUUAAGACGGGCAGCAGUGUUCUUGGAGAGUAGUGGCUUCCUCCAAAGUUUUUAAUGUUAGAUCAUUUUGCUCAAUAAAUAAAUUAUGAAAGAUUUUUUGUGUGUUGAACUGGGUCCACUUUAAGACGCUUUAGGACGUAGAUGAAGAUGUGAUCACAUUUUAAAUCAAAUGUAUGCAGAUAUACAGAAAAUUCAAAAGGGUUCACAAACUUUCUAGCACCACUGUAAUAGAAUUUAAACAUAAGCACACAAGCCCUAUUUUGCUGCAUUCGUUUAUUAUAAUGACCAAUUAGCAAUUAUAUUUUCCAGGAUAUCUUCUGUUCGUAUACAAAUAUACACAUGUAUCGUGUGCAAUAAGUGUUCUUUAGUGUUAUUUUCAAUGUACUAUGUAUGCUGUAAAAAGAUAAUUGCUAUUCGUUGUUCUACAGGGAAUGGUCAGGGAAAUGGUGGAUCAAAUGGAAAUGGCAAUAACCCAGGGAAUGGUCAGGGAAAUGGUGGAUCAAAUGGAAAUGGCAAUAACCCAGGGAAUGGUCAGGGAAAUGGUGGAUCAAAUGGAAAUGGCAAUAACCCAGGGAAUGGUCAGGGAAAUGGUGGAUCAAAUGGAAAUGGCAAUAACCCAGGUAAGUUCAGCCUACAAGCACUCGUCCACACAACGAUUCAUUAACAUUGAGCAUUUCUAAAUCUUUAUUUUGUGUAUUUGUUGAACUGGGUCCACUUUAUUACGUUUAAGGACGUAGAUGAAGAUGUGAUCACAUUUUAGAUCAAAUGUAUGCAGAUAUACAGACAAUUCUAAAGAGUUCACAAACUUUCGAGCACCACUGUAAUAUAAUUUAAACACUAACCCUAACCCUUUCUAACACCACUGUAUACACACACACACACACACACACACACACACUGUAAUAUAAUUUAAACACUAACCCUAACCCUUUGUAGCACCACUGUAAUAUAAUUGAAACACGAGCACAUAGACCUAUUUGGCAUUUGUUUAUUAUAAUGACCAAUUAGCAAUGACAUUUUCCAGAAUGUCUUCUGUUCUUAUAUACAAAUAUAAACAUAUAUUAUGUGCAAUAAAAUCAAAUCAAAUCAAAUUUUAGCGUGG
rnacentral:lncRNA from 1 species